rnacentral:rRNA from 1 species
UACGUAGGGCGCGAGCGUUGUCCGGAAUUAUUGGGCGUAAAGAGCUCGUAGGCGGUCUGUCGCGUCGUUCGUGAAAACUUGGGGCUCAACCCCAAGCUUGCGGUCGAUACGGGCAGGCUAGAGUUCGGUAGGGGAGACUGGAAUUCCUGGUGUAGCGGUGAAAUGCGCAGAUAUCAGGAGGAACACCGGUGGCGAAGGCGGGUCUCUGGGCCGAUACUGACGCUGAGGAGCGAAAGCGUGGGGAGCGAACAGG